rnacentral:lncRNA from 1 species
UCGUCUGAGUGCGCGUUGCUUUCUCUCGCUCGGAGGCUGCGGCUUGACGCCUCCGCCUGUUCCCCGGAGCGAGCGAGAGCGGGGGUUAGAAAAAAAAAAAAAAGAAAAGAAAAGAAAAAAGAAAAAAAAAAAGACUUUUAUUGAAACGAUCCAACCAGCGGCGGCGGAGAAAAGCGACCGGCUGCGGGAGCUUCCCCACCCCGCCUGCACGGCUCGCCUGGGGCAGCGCGACCCCUGCCGGCGGCGGCGGCGACGGCGGCAGGCGGGGCGGAGCCUUGCCUGGGGGUGGGGCUUAUGACCGGGGCGUGGUCUGGGCGGGGCGGGGGGGUAUUCCCAGGAAACUUCAAGCAUGGCUUCAAACGCGGCUGGAGAGCAAGGGAGACCCUGUCCGUGGACAGAACGCUGAACAGUGUCUGACCAUCGCGAUUGGAAGUGCACGAUAUAUUUUAAAUCUCAUUAUCUACUAAGGACUUCUGAAUCCUAUCUUUUCUGAUUGAUGCGCCUUUCCUUGAAGAUACUUCCUGCCCUUCUGUCUAGAACUUUGUUGGACACAGCUGGAUGUGUUUUCUACAGCUCAUAAGGUUCAUAUAUAUCAACCAGAGUUCUCCUGUGUCUCCAAAAUUACCAGAACUAUAGGUUAACAAUAAUUAUCCUCUACAAAGACUUCAACACUUGUUUACCCUGUAAAAAUGCCCAUAUUUAUACUUCCCUUCAAGAAUGAGUGUGUACUUUUGAACAGCAGUUAAUGAUUUUUUUAUAUAUGUCUAAUUCAGGCAAUUUUAUAAUAUGUUAGGAGCUAGCAUCAUUUCAGAGUUCUUUGUAAGUUAAAGAAAAAUAUAUGUUACACAUGACCUACUUUUAUACCAAACAUUUUCACAUGCUUGCCUUAUAUUCAAAAGCAAUUGUGUGGGGGUGUUGUUGUUGCUGUUGUUCUCUUAGUAAAUAUUCAAAAUAGUAAAAAAGGGAAUCUACAUAAUUGCACCCUGAGUUUCUGCAUCUGAAAUUCUUCCUUCACAUCACUGGACUGGAAUUAGCCCAUUAGAAACCAAAGAUAAUUCUGCCUUGGCCAAAAUUCCCAAGAAAUAUCUUCUCUGGUAUAGCACCGUAG